rnacentral:rRNA from 1 species
UUAAGUGACUAAGCGUACAAGGUGGAUGCCUUGGCAAUCAGAGGCGACGAAGGACGUGCUAAUCUGCGAAAAGCUUGGAUGAGUCGAUAAGAGGCGUUUAAUCCAAGAUGUCCGAAUGGGGAAACCCAGUAGAUGAAGAAUCUACUAUCACUUACUGAAUCCAUAGGUAAGUGAGGCAAACCGGGAGAACUGAAACAUCUAAGUACCCCGAGGAAAAGAAAUCAACCGAGAUUUCGUUAGUAGCGGCGAGCGAACGCGAAGGAGCCUGUUAGUGAUAAUGACAGAGACAGAGGAACAAGCUGGGAAGCUUGGCGAUACAGGGUGAUAGCCCCGUACUCGAAGUCCAGGUCAUGGUACUAAGCUAACGACAAGUAGGGCGGGACACGUGAUAUCCUGUUUGAAGAUGGGGGGACCAUCCUCCAAGGCUAAAUACUCCUGAUUGACCGAUAGUGAACCAGUACUGUGAAGGAAAGGCGAAAAGAACCCCGGUGAGGGGAGUGAAAUAGAACCUGAAACCUUGUACGUACAAGCAGUGGGAGCCCUUUAAGGGUGACUGCGUACCUUUUGUAUAAUGGGUCAGCGACUUAUAUUUUGUAGCGAGGUUAACCGAAUAGGGGAGCCGAAGGGAAACCGAGUCUUAACUGGGCGUCUAGUUGCAAGGUAUAGACCCGAAACCCGGUGAUCUAGCCAUGGGCAGGUUGAAGGUUGGGUAACACUAACUGGAGGACCGAACCGACUAAUGUUGAAAAAUUAGCGGAUGACUUGUGGCUGGGGGUGAAAGGCCAAUCAAACCGGGAGAUAGCUGGUUCUCCCCGAAAUCUAUUUAGGUAGAGCCUUGAGCGGACACCUUCGGGGGUAGAGCACUGUUUCGGCUAGGGGUCCAUCCCGGAUUACCAACCCGAUGCAAACUACGAAUACCGAAGAGUGAUACUCAGGAGACACACGGCGGGUGCUAACGUCCGUCGUGGAGAGGGAAACAACCCAGACCGCCAGCUAAGGUCCCAAAGUCUAUAUUAAGUGGGAAACGAAGUGGGAAGGCUUAGACAGCUAGGAUGUUGGCUUAGAAGCAGCCAUCAUUUAAAGAAAGCGUAAUAGCUCACUAGUCGAGUCGGCCUGCGCGGAAGAUGUAACGGGGCUCAAAUAUAGCACCGAAGCUGCGGCAUCAGUAGCAAUACUGUUGGGUAGGGGAGCGUUCUGUAAGCGGAUGAAGAUGGCUCGAGAGGGCUGUUGGACGUAUCAGAAGUGCGAAUGCUGACAUAAGUAACGAUAAAACGGGUGAAAAACCCGUUCGCCGGAAGACCAAGGGUUCCUGUCCAACGUUAAUCGGGGCAGGGUGAGUCGGCCCCUAAGGCGAGGCUGAAAAGCGUAGUCGAUGGGAAACGGGUUAAUAUUCCCGUACUUGGAUAAACUGCGAUGUGGGGACGGAGCAGGUUAGGUUAUCGCACUGUUGGAUAUGUGCGUUUAAGUUGGUAGGUGAGAAGUUUAGGCAAAUCCGGACUUCUAUAACACCGAGAGAUGAUGACGAGGCUCUACGGAGCUGAAGUAACCGAUACCACACUUCCAGGAAAAGCCACUAAGCUUCAGGUUUAUCUAAACCGUACUGAAAACCGACACAGGUGGUCAGGUAGAGAAUACUCAGGCGCUUGAGAGAACUCGGGUGAAGGAACUAGGCAAAAUAGCACCGUAACUUCGGGAGAAGGUGCGCCGGCGUAGAUUGUAGUCCCUUGCGGAUGAAGGUUGAACCGGUCGAAGAUACCAGCUGGCUGCAACUGUUUAUUAAAAACACAGCACUCUGCAAACACGAAAGUGGACGUAUAGGGUGUGAUGCCUGCCCGGUGCUGGAAGGUUAAUUGAUGGUGUAAUCGAAAGAGAAGCUCCUGAUCGAAGCCCCAGUAAACGGCGGCCGUAACUAUAACGGUCCUAAGGUAGCGAAAUUCCUUGUCGGGUAAGUUCCGAC